AGGAAUUGACGGGGACCCGCACAAGCGGUGGAGCAUGUGGUUUAAUUCGAAGCAACGCGAAGAACCUUACCAACUCUUGACAUCCCAUUGACCGCUUGAGAGAUCAAGUUUUCCCUUCGGGGACAAUGGUGACAGGUGGUGCAUGGUUGUCGUCAGCUCGUGUCGUGAGAUGUUGGGUUAAGGCCCGCAACGAGCGCAACCCCUAUCCUUAGUUGCCAGCAUUCAGUUGGGCACUCUAGGGAGACUGCCGGUGACAAACCGGAGGAAGGUGGGGAUGACGUCAAAUCAUCAUGCCCCUUAUGAGUUGGGCUACACACGUGCUACAAUGGACGGUACAAAGGGCAGCGAGACCGCGAGGUGGAGCCAAUCCCAUAAAGCCGUUCCCAGUUCGGAUUGCAGGCUGCAACUCGCCUGCAUGAAGUCGGAAUCGCUAGUAAUCGCAGGUCAGCAUACUGCGGUGAAUACGUUCCCGGGUCUUGUACACACCGCCCGUCACACCACGAGAGUUUGCAACACCCGAAGCCGGUGAGUAACCGACAAGGAGCCAGCCGUCGAAGU
rnacentral:rRNA from 1 species